rnacentral:rRNA from 1 species
UUUCUACGGGAGGCAGCAGUGGGGAAUAUUGCACAAUGGGCGCAAGCCUGAUGCAGCCAUGCCGCGUGUUGAAGAAGGCCUUCGGGUUGUAAAGUACUUUCAGCGGGGAGGAAGGGAGUAAAGUUAAUACCUUUGCUCAUUGACGUUACCGCAGAAGAAGCACCGGCUAACUCCGUGCCAGCAGCCGCGGUAAUACGGAGGGUGCAAGCGUUAAUCGGAAUUACUGGGCGUAAAGCGCACGCAGGCGGUUUGUUAAGUCAGAUGUGAAAUCCCCGGGCUCAACCUGGGAACUGCAUUGAUACUGGCAAGCUUGAGUCUCGUAGAGGGGGGUAGAAUUCCAGGUGUAGCGGUGAAAUGCGUAGAGAUCUGGAGGAAUACCGGUGGCGAAGGCGGCCCCCUGGACGAAGACUGACGCUCAGGUGCGAAAGCGUGGGGAGCAAACAGGAUUAGAUACCC